rnacentral:rRNA from 1 species
UGAACGCUGGCGGCGUGCUUCACACAUGCACGUCGAACGACGCACUUUAUUUGAUUUCCUUCGGGACUGAUUAUUUUGUGACUGAGUGGCGGACGGGUGAGUAACGCGUGGGUAACCUGCCUUGUACAGGGGGAUAACAGUUGGAAACGGCUGCUAAUACCGCAUACGCGCACAGCAUCGCAUGAUGCAGUGUGAAAAACUCCGGUGGUAUAAGAUGGACCCGCGUUGGAUUAGCUAGUUGGUGAGGUAACGGCCCACCAAGGCGACGAUCCAUAGCCGACCUGAGAGGGUGACCGGCCACAUUGGGACUGAGACACGGCCCAAACUCCUACGGGAGGCAGCAGUGGGGAAUAUUGCACAAUGGGCGAAAGCCUGAUGCAGCGACGCCGCGUGAGCGAAGAAGUAUUUCGGUAUGUAAAGCUCUAUCAGCAGGGAAGAUAAUGACGGUACCUGACUAAGAAGCACCGGCUAAAUACGUG